rnacentral:lncRNA from 1 species
CACUUCUUAUUCUCUCGAAAUUCCUGAGGAAAAUUAUUUCCGUGAAGAAAAUCCAAGCCGAGGCGCUUCCGUAACGUUUCCGUGAGUAAUUACGCGAAGAUUCUCGACCGUUCUUCAACAUUCAUCGUUGGUUCUUCAUUUUCUUCAGUCUUCAACGGGUAAGUAUUUCAAACCGAGCCUUUUAAUUCAUUCUAUGUACUCGUGGUGGUCCACAUUUUGUUUCAUGUAUUUUUAU